rnacentral:rRNA from 1 species
AUGAAGGCGGGCUGGAAUCUCUCGGGGUUACAGCCUUGCUGAAUUAUUCACCCUUGUCUUUUGCGUACUUCUUGUUUCCUUGGUGGGUUCGCCCACCACUAGGACAAACAUAAACCUUUUGUAAUUGCAAUCAGCGUCAGUAACAAAUUAAUAAUUACAACUUUCAACAACGGAUCUCUUGGUUCUGGCAUCGAUGAAGAACGCAGCGAAAUGCGAUAAGUAGUGUGAAUUGCAGAAUUCAGUGAAUCAUCGAAUCUUUGAACGCACAUUGCGCCCUUUGGUAUUCCAAAGGGCAUGCCUGUUCGAGCGUCAUUUGUACCCUCAAGCUUUGCUUGGUGUUGGGCGUCUUGUCUCUAGCUUUGCUGGAGACUCGCCUUAAAGUAAUUGGCAGCCGGCCUACUGGUUUCGGAGCGCAGCACAAGUCGCACUCUCUAUCAGCAAAGGUCUAGCAUCCAUUAAGCCUUUUUUCCACUUUUGACCUCGGAUCAGGUAGGGAUACCCGCUGAACUUAAGCAUAUCAAUAAGCGGAGGAA